rnacentral:rRNA from 1 species
UACGAAGGGGGCUAGCGUUGCUCGGAAUCACUGGGCGUAAAGGGUGCGUAGGCGGAUCGUUAAGUCGGGGGUGAAAUCCUGGAGCUCAACUCCAGAACUGCCCUUGAUACUGGCGGUCUCGAGUCCGGGAGAGGUGAGUGGAACUGCGAGUGUAGAGGUGAAAUUCGUAGAUAUUCGCAAGAACACCAGUGGCGAAGGCGGCUCACUGGCCCGGUACUGACGCUGAGGUGCGAAAGCGUGGGGAGCAAACAGGG